rnacentral:rRNA from 1 species
CCCUUAGAUGCUCUGGGCCGCACGCGCGCUACACUGGUCGAUGCAACGAGUUUCUUUCCUUGGCCGACAGGCCUGGGCAAUCUUUGAACAUCGAUCGUGAUCGGGAUAGAUUCUUGUAAUUUUUGAUCUUAAACGAGGAAUUCCUAGUAAACGCAAGUCAUCAGCUUGCAUUGAUUACGUCCCUGCCCUUUGUACACACCGCCCGUCGCACCUACCGAUUGAAUGGUCCGGUGAAGCCUCCGGAUUGGCGCGCACCUCGGUGCCGCCGAGAAGUUGGCUAAACCUUACCAUUUAGAGGAAGGUGAAGUCGUANCA